rnacentral:rRNA from 1 species
AUUGAACGCUGGCGGCAGGCCUAACACAUGCAAGUCGAGCGAGCGGCGGACGGGUGAGUAAUGUCUGGGAAACUGCCUGAUGGAGGGGGAUAACUUCUGGAAACGGUAGCUAAUACCGCAUACCAUCAGAUGUGCCCAGAUGGGAUUAGCUGGUAGGUGGGGUCACGGCUCACCUAGGCGACGAUCCCUAGCUGGGCUGAGAGGCUGACCAGCCACACUGGAACUGAGACACGGUCCAGAUUCCUACGGGAGGCAGCAGUGGGGAAUAUGGCACAAGGGGCGCAAGCCUGAUGCAGCCAUGCCGCGUGUGUGAGGAAGGCCUUCGGGUUGUAAAGCACUUUCAGCGGGGAGGCGUUACCCGCAGAAGAAGCACCGGCUAACUCCGUGCCAGCAGCCGCGGUAAUUC